rnacentral:rRNA from 1 species
UACGUAGGGUGCAAGCGUUAUCCGGAUUCACUGGGUUUAAAGGGUGCGUAGGUGGGUCUGUAAGUCAGUGGUGAAAUCUCCAAGCUUAACUUGGAAACUGCCGUUGAUACUAUAGACCUUGAAUGCUGUGGAGGUGAGCGGAAUAUGUCAUGUAGCGGUGAAAUGCUUAGAUAUGACAUAGAACACCAAUUGCGAAGGCAGCUCACUACCCAGAUAUUGACACUGAGGCACGAAAGCGUGGGGAUCAAACAGG